rnacentral:rRNA from 1 species
GUGGAUGGCCACACGGCGACUAUCCGGCGAUGCCCCUGCGAGGAUAAAGCCACCCCGACCCCCCUCUGAACCCUAGGUCGACCUUUCCCCCCCUCCGUCACUCUUCUCCUUCGACUUCUUCGUCGCCCGAAGAAACCAUCGUCGUGAUGUCGUCGUCUUCGCGGCCAGGAGCUUCUCCGAGCCACGAUUGGGUGUCCAGGAGGUGCGCUGCAUCCAUCUACGUCGACUACAAGGAGCGAUUCAACUGGAAUCGCACUGCGCCCAUGCAUCGGCCGAUCUCCUUCGUCUACGGCCGCCGCACCUCGCCGCUCGAUCCGCCCGUCUUCGACCACCUCCGGCCUCCCCGACCUCGCCUUCGUGUUCAUUACCCCGAGACUGCCAACGACCCCAGUUCGACUACACCGAAGAUGACCCCUCCUUCCCGGCUGAGCUUCCAGACGUUGAAGCCCAGGAUCCAGACGCCACCGUCGACGACGACUACUACACUUGAGGAGCCUACUACUACGUGCAGGCCACUGACGACGACCAGGAGUAGUUAGGUGGAUCCCAGGCAGGAGGCAUGCGCCUCUUUCGAUCUGUAUCCCAGUUUGUGCUAGCCAUCUUAUGGCAACUUGUUAACUUAUGUCUGUACUCAGAUAUUGUUGCUUCCGCUGACUCGUUUAUGUACGAGCACUUGUAUUCGAGCCCUCGAGGCCCCUGGCUUGUAAUAUGAUGCUUGUAUGACUUAUUUUACUUUUAGAGUUGUGUUGUGAUAUCUUCCCGUGAGUCCCUGAUCUUGAUCGUACACAUUUGC